rnacentral:rRNA from 1 species
GUGAACGCUGGCGGUAGGCCUAACACAUGCAAGUCGAACGGCAGCACAGUAAGAGCUUGCUCUUACGGGUGGCGAGUGGCGGACGGGUGAGGAAUACAUCGGAAUCUACUUUUUCGUGGGGGAUAACGUAGGGAAACUUACGCUAAUACCGCAUACGACCUACGGGUGAAAGCAGGGGAUCUUCGGACCUUGCGCGAUUGAAUGAGCCGAUGUCGGAUUAGUUAGUUGGCGGGGUAAAGGCCCACCAAGGCGACGAUCCGUAGCUGGUCUGAGAGGAUGAUCAGCCACACUGGAACUGAGACACGGUCCAGACUCCUACGGGAGGCAGCAGUGGGGAAUAUUGGACAAUGGGCGCAAGCCUGAUCCAGCCAUACCGCGUGGGUGAAGAAGGCCUUCGGGUUGUAAAGCCCUUUUGUUGGGAAGGAAAAGCAGCAGGUUAAUACCCCGCUGUUCUGACGGUACCCAAAGAAUAAGCACCGGCUAACUUCGUG